GACGAACGCUGGCGGCGUGCCUAAUACAUGCAAGUAGAACGCUGAAGGAGGAGCUUGCUUCUCUGGAUGAGUUGCGAACGGGUGAGUAACGCGUAGGUAACCUGCCUGGUAGCGGGGGAUAACUAUUGGAAACGAUAGCUAAUACCGCAUAAUAUUUACUAUUGCAUGAUAGCCAGUUGAAAGGUGCAACUGCACCACUACCAGAUGGACCUGCGUUGUAUUAGCUAGUUGGUGGGGUAACGGCUCACCAAGGCGACGAUACAUAGCCGACCUGGGAGGGUGAUCGGCCACGCUGGGACUGAGACACGGCCCAGACUCCUACGGGAGGCAGCAGUAGGGAAUCUUCGGCAAUGGACGGAAGUCUGACCGAGCAACGCCGCGUGAGUGAAGAAGGUUGUCGGAUCGGAAAGCUCUGUUGUAAGAGAAGAACGAGUGUGAGAGUGGAAAGCUCACACUGUGACGGUAUCUUACCAGAAAGGGACGGCUAACUACGUG
rnacentral:rRNA from 1 species